UCAUUCAUCAAUAAUUCAACUAAUAAUAA
rnacentral:sRNA from 1 species